CUCUCGGCAACGGAUAUCUCGGCUCUCGCAUCGAUGAAGAACGUAGCGAAAUGCGAUACGUGGUGUGAAUUGCAGAAUCCCGUGAACCAUCGAGUCUUUGAACGCAAGUUGCGCCCAAGGGACCCUCCCGAGGGCACGCCUGCCUCAUGGGCGUUAG
rnacentral:rRNA from 8 species